rnacentral:rRNA from 1 species
GAUGAACGCUGGCGGCGUGCCUAAUACAUGCAAGUCGAGCGAACAGACGAGGAGCUUGCUCCUCUGACGUUAGCGGCGGACGGGUGAGUAACACGUGGAUAACCUACCUAUAAGACUGGGAUAACUUCGGGAAACCGGAGCUAAUACCGGAUAAUAUAUUGAACCGCGUGGUUCAAUAGUGAAAGACGGUUUUGCUGUCGCUUAUAGAUGGAUCCGCGCCGCAUUAGCUAGUUGGUAAGGUAACGGCUUACCAAGGCAACGAUGCGUAGCCGACCUGAGAGGGUGAUCGGCCACACUGGAACUGAGACACGGUCCAGACUCCUACGGGAGGCAGCAGUAGGGAAUCUUCCGCAAUGGGCGAAAGCCUGACGGAGCAACGCCGCGUGAGUGAUGAAGGUCUUCGGAUCGUAAAACUCUGUUAUUAGGGAAGAACAAAUGUGUAAGUAACUAUGCACGUCUUGACGGUACCUAAUCAGAAAGCCACGGCUAACUACGUG